rnacentral:rRNA from 2 species
AUAAUGGGUCAGCGACUUAUAUUCUGUAGCAAGGUUAACCGUAUAGGGGAGCCGCAGGGAAACCGAGUCUUAACUGGGCGUUAAGUUGCAGGGUAUAGACCCGAAACCCGGUGAUCUAGCCAUGGGCAGGUUGAAGGUUGGGUAACACUAACUGGAGGACCGAACCGACUAAUGUUGAAAAAUUAGCGGAUGACUUGUGGCUGGGGGUGAAAGGCCAAUCAAACCGGGAGAUAGCUGGUUCUCCCCGAAAGCUAUUUAGGUAGCGCCUCGUGAAUUCAUCUUCGGGGGUAGAGCACUGUUUCGGCUAGGGGGUCAUCCCGACUUACCAACCCGAUGCAAACUACGAAUACCGAAGAAUGUUAUCACGGGAGACACACGGCGGGUGCUAACGUCCGUCGUGAAGAGGGAAACAACCCAGACCGCCAGCUAAGGUCCCAAAGUCAUGGUUAAGUGGGAAACGAUGUGGGAAGGCCCAGACAGCCAGGAUGUUGGCUUAGAAGCAGCCAUCAUUUAAAGAAAGCGUAAUAGCUCACUGGUCGAGUCGGCCUGCGCGGAAGAUGUAACGGGGCUAAACCAUG